AAAAGAGUCUCAUCAUCGUAAUUUAACAAAGAGUUCCGAAACAAAAGCAAACAUCAUAUUGUCUAGUUUUAAAACAACGAACAAUAACCUAAAGGGCAAACCAGACCCUUUAUUCAAAAUAAAAGACGAAAAGCAACAGAAGUAACAAACUCCACACACAUUCUUAUUCUUCAUCCGUUUCUGAUUCUGCAUUCUGAAGCCAUUCAAUGAACGGCUGAACAUUCUUCCAUAUCUGAGAGUUCUUAUUAUCGCCCGUCAGUCCCUUUUGAUACCACUGUACUAUGUGCUCUUCCUCCAACACAUCAGCGUCGUAGAGUGCCUUCAGAACCAGGGCAACUUCCUUCAACGCAUUGGAAGUAGACUUACAUGAAAAUUCCUCAAUUGCACACAACAGUAACAACUGCAAACCUUCUUCCUCGGCAACUGCAGCAGCAAGGUAGUUCUUCUUCUUAGUUGCUUCUUUUGCAAACCCUUUCUCGAUGCCCUCAAACAGGGCUUCAUACAGAGCACUCAUCUUCUCCUGAGCAGAUGCUGGAAGCGCUGCUAGAUGGGACACCAACUCUUUUGCCUUGACACCUUUACUCAAAUUUGCUUUCACUUCUGCAACCAGUGUCCUAUAGGUCAAAAAGUUACCAUUCUCAGAAUUACCAUUUACCUUAGUUCUGGCUUUCUCCUCCUUCUCUGGUUCAUCUGUGGAGAGCAUGACCAUAUCAGCUGUCACAGCACUCAGCUGUUCCUGGAUUCGUUGACGAGCAGCCUCCAGUGAUGUAUCGGUUUGCCACUCUAUGUCGUCAUCCACAUCUUCCUUGUCAUGAGCCUCAAUAUUCUCAUCAAUUUGACUGCGGGGAGGCGAUGGCCGGUCUUCAUCGGAGCCAUUUGCCUUUUUCCUUGAAGAGGUAGAUUUCGGAGCACCAUCCUUAGAAGAGGAAGUUCCUUUCUUCUUAGUAACCUCUUUCUUCAGUUUUUUCUGUUCCUCAUCAGCCAUUUCACCUUCCUUCAGUCUCUCUUUCUCAGCUCUCCUCAUAGCCUUCUUGUCUUUGGAUCCUUUCUUAACUUCUGGAGGGUUUUUAAUGAUGAAAGUAGUUAGCUUGUCUCUCAUAUCAACGUCAGACACAAACCCACAAGCAGCACAUUUCAGCUGGAUCAUUUGGUUCUUAGUAAUUAAGAUAUCAGUUUCAGGAUUUCCACAACCAUAACACUGAACAUAUUUCUUGAUGAAGAUUUCAAGAAGGCCAGCAAGUUUUGCAGUAUCAUGUGCGCCAUUAACAUGGGAUGUUCCAGUUUUCUCAUCAAACUUUGAUUGGGCUCCAAGCUCACAUCCGAAAUACUUUGUUGUGUAGGAAGCUGGCCUUGCCAAGGCUUUCGCAAUAUCAACCAUAUUGACAACAUUUGUUUUGAUGCCAUUACCUCUGCCCUCAAUUUUGGUGAUCAUUCUUGGCAUCUUGUACCUGUAGAAGGCAUCGUCACUGUUACUAGCACCAAUGUUUUGUAAGGCCAUGAUGACACAAAUCCUGAAAGUCUCAAAGAAACACGCUAGACACCACAGGUGGCUGAUACUGAAAUUCAAAGUUAGCGCAGAAGCAAUAAUGAUGUUGAUCAGUAGAUUAUUAUCACAAAGAUCCUCCUUGAGAAAUCGUGGGACAGCAACUACAAAGCUCAGAGUGUUCCUGGUAAGGUGCACGAUGCAUCCAGCCGAGCCUCCUCGGCACCAGCCUGUUCUUUUUUCUAGAAGACGAAAAACACUCUCCAAGCAACUCAAUUGCUCCCAAAUGGAUAAUAGCCCGUUCAAACAUGAAAGAAACUUCAACGUGACACCUUCACCUUGAAAUCUGUUGCAGCAGAACUUGCAGGAUUCCUACGUCAAAACCAGAAGUUACAUUAUUUCAAUUACAAUUCUAAAACACUUGCUUCAAGCACUAUGUAAAGGGGACUAUGUUACAGAGGUAAAAGGUACAUAACUUGGACAAUAUAUUGCAAAAUCAAAUAACCACAUAGCCACAAGGAAGAGGUAUUACUUACAAUUGGAAGAUGAUAAAGAAAAAUAAAAGCCACCACACGUAUAAAAAAUAGUAGUAAUCAUGCUGCAGAUUUCACAUUACUGAAGUCAAUCUCCUAAAAGCACCUUACAGAAUGACUUAUCUAAUGGACAAGAACUCCAUCUAAUACCAAGUAGAUCGGUGAAACAACAACCACAAUCAAGCCCAAUCCAAUACAGAAGAAUAUGAAAUAUCAAAUAAUGGAAUCUGUUUGGCUCAAUUCGAAAACCAACGCAGACAAAUCCAAAUUAAAACAAAUUUCAGCCACCGCCAGCAGGCUUUGGCAUGUAGGUUUCAUCAACAUAUUUUACAGAAAUAAUCACUAUUGUUAUAUCAACACCUUCCUUAAACAAUGGUAUAAUUAUUCCAGAACAGGAUAAUACAUGAUAUUACAAAAAUGAAGCUGAAAAGCCUAAUAUCAAAAUCAAAAUCAUAAUACAAAUUAAUUUUAAUCCUAAUAAUCAAUCAUCACAAUGCAAAUAAUUUUCCAAUCAAUAUUAAAAAAAAAAACAGUUAAUCCAAACAGACAGUAAAAACCCUAACUAUGAAUCAACACUAUAUAAAACAAUUACAAUCUCAACAAUCAAUCAUCAAUAACAACAAAUAAUUUUGACGAUAACACAACAAACGUGGAAAGAUUUACCGCCAAAUGCUGGCGUAUGACAGAACACAGUUACACACGGCGCCAAAUUACCGUCAACAAAAUCAUCAGAUCUUAAUCUAAUCAGAAUCUUACCGCAAAAAAAAAAAAAAACGGCAGCACCAUCAAGAACAACAACAAAUCGUCAACAAAUAAAUACAUUAAAUCGAUAACAGAAAUAGCUAAAACAAGAGUUAUUUCGGAUCUAAGUUUUUCCAGGUGAAACUCGGAAUGAGAAUAAACGAUUACAUAAAAAAUAAUAAUAAUCAUGUAAAAGGAACGGCGGAUAAGUUAAAAGAGAAAAAUAAAGAAUCGAAAAUACGACGAAUGGAGAUGACGAUACCUGCAGAAGUUGUUGAAGGGAACGCAAGGCUUGAAGAAUCGGAGCGAAGAGAAAGAGAAGAAAGUGAUUAGAAGGUGCGGCUCUUUCUUCAGAGUUUGUGAAGGAGACGAGGCUGGGCAAAACCAAUACCCUUACGUCUAUAUAUAUAUAUCAACCAAUGAAAGCCCUCAUUAUGUGUAAACUCCAAACUACUCUUCUAUUUUAUUUAAUUAAUAUUUUAAUGAGGUCUAGAGCAUUCUUUUCUUUCUUCGCUAUUUUUCUUUCUUUCCUUUUAUUUAUUUUUUAUAUAUUUUCAGCUUUGAGUCUGUGAAUUAUGAUAUAUUUUUUCUAAUUUUAAUGUCCAUGUAUUAUGAAUGAAAAAUAUUCACGAGCAAUUAAUAAUAAAUCACCAUAUAAAACUGAUUAUAAUUCAUUUCAAGAAAUAUUUUUUUGGAAGAAUGGUGAAAGUAGACGAAUUAGAAUCUGUGAGAAUUUAUAAAAAAAUAAAAUAAAAUGAUCAUACGCAUAAGAAAAAUAACAAUCAAAUAUUAAAUGUAGAAUAAUAAAAUAGAUUUCUUUUUAGAAGAAAAAUAUGUGUUAUAUGGCUUAAAAGGCCUACUUUGUAGGUGUGCGGACCAGACUCUUAAAACCCACAAGGUAAAACAAUGGCACUCGUAUAGAACCACAUUUAUUAUAUGGGUUAACUCUUUUUAAGCUUAACAUUGCCUUAAUAAGAUACAAUUAAAUAUUAAAUAUUUUUAAUUAAAAUCGUAUUGAUUUUUUCUCAAUAAUCGGUUACUUUUUUUUGUAAAUUUUUAGCUGUUUAUAUAUCAUGUCAAUUCGUUGUUUAUAGAUAAUGAGAUUCAAUUAACACAACAAUACAUAUCUACUUAGUUUUUUUCUUACGGAUAUUUAGAAUUUCAUCUCAGUUUAAAUCAUAUUAUAUAUUGAUUAGACAUCAUAAAUUGUUGAAAAGAAAACAAAAGAAAUAUUACAUAUAUUAUUUUAACUAAAUAAAUAUAUACUUAUCAAAAUUAAUUUUACAAAAAUCUAUCAUAAUUACAAUAUUUUUUAUGAUAACUUUUCUAUUACUAUAGUUACAAUAUAUUUAAAUUAUCUUACUUAUCAUAAUCACUUUUCAAAUUCUUUAAUCUCAACUAAUUUACAAACAUUAUAUUAAAUAUAUUUUUUAAAUUUAUUUUCACAUGAGUUUAUAAAAAGUUAUAAAUUUUUUAUAUACAAAUUUGUAAAAUUAGAAAAAAAUGUUGUUAAAAACUCAUUCCUCGCAAAAGAAAAUUCCAACAAGAAAAAACCUUCGAAAUUAUAAAAAGGAAUUAUGAGAAUUGAGUCUUUAACAAAAAGAAAGUGUACUUGAGUAGUAGUAAAAGGUAUAAUUUGGAUAAAAAAAAUUCUCAUGUUCUACUCAUGUCUAUAAAAUUUAAAAGUGGUCUAUUACAGAAAAAAAAAAGUUUAUUAUAGCAACCGACAAAAAUGGAUGAAUGAUAUAGUAUUAAAAUAAUUUAUUAUGGAGUGUUAUUUUAUAGACUUUUUUGGAUAUACAGAGAAUAUAUUAAUUGUUGAUAUCUUAUUAAAUGAUAAUUGAAAUAUAUAUAUAUAUAUAUAUAUAUAUAUAUAUAUAUAAAUCUUUUAAAUAAUUGCAUUAUCUCCCAAUAUUUCAUGUAACAUUAUAAUAGUGGAUUUGUUAUUAUUUUUUUUAUUGGACUGAAUUAAGUUAGGUAUGUACAUUAAAUAUAAGCUAAAAUUAAUGUUUAGAUCAAAAAUAAAAAUUUAGAAAAGAAAAUCUAUAAAUUAGUUUAUGUAUAAAUAAAAUUUAAAUAUUUUUAUUAUAAAAUGUCUAUAGGAAAAAAGUUGGUUUUGUUAACUUUAUCGAGAAUAGAAAGAAGAAAUUAGAAGAAAAUGUGUUGAGUAUAUUUUGAAUUAAAAGUCAACAAACUCCCUUUUAUAGGGGUUGAAAAAUAGGACAAUGACAUAUAAUAUAUAGUAAAAAAAACCCUUUAAUUUAGGUAAAAAAUAAAAAAUAAAACAUUAUAAAGUAGAGUUGAGAUUUUUAGUUUUGGUUUAAUAAUAUCCAGUAGUUUGUUUAAAGAAUCUAGACCAUAUGACAAAACAACACAUGAAAUAAUAAUCUUAGACUACAAAUUUAGUGUAUAGCUUGCUUAGUCCAAAAUGCUGCAAGUAAUUGUAACUGUGUCUGUUACAAACAUCAUAUAAUGCAAAAACUUAAAGAAAAAAAAUACACAACUCAAAAUAUUAAAAUAUAAUUUAUUCAUUUGUAAUAUUUUUAUAUAUCGUUAUAUGCUCUAAUACUUUUUUUUUCUUUUUAUUUCGUAACCCUUUGUCGAAAAUGUUUUAAAGCAUUGAAGAAAUUCCUGAACAUUUUCCUAUAGUUGUAUUUAAUUUCUUCAUUUAUUUCAAUUUAAACUCAUAUUGUAUACAUUUAAUUGUAUAAAGUUAAAAAUAAAUAAUAUCAAUAUAAAUAAUUAUAAAACAUUACUUACUGAGUUAAAAAAACUCAUAAUAUAUCAUUUAAAAAAAAAUAUUUUAAAAUUUUUUGAACAGAACCAAAUUAGAUAUAAGCUAAAAAAAUUAUUCACGUUCACCACAAAUAUUUAUCAACCACGACAUUAAUUCUGAGAGAGGAAAUAGAAAUUAUAAAUUUACACGAUAUAUAAUAUGAAAAAAGAAAAUAUAAUAUAUAUGAAAUGAAAAGUAUGUAUAUCAUGUUUAUAAAAUAAUAGAUUGCUUAAGUUCAACUAUUUUAAUUUAGUAUUGAAAUGAUGUUUACGUGAGAAGUGCUAGAUUUGAGCCCAUACACAUACCAACCAAGCACAUCCCCGCAUCCUGGUAUACGGAAAUAGAGGAAUGAGUAUGUGAAUCAGAAACACACGCAAUUGGCUCAAAAUAUACCUUACCCAAUUCAUAUCCAUAAUCAUGAAAGCUGCAUCCUCUUUCAAAACCUCACCCACCAAGCCAACGAAACUAAAUGGGGUAAAUAUAAAAAAUAUCAUAAAAUUACAUGCAGGUUUCCUAGAAUAUGCUUACUUGAAUAAUAAUCACAAUAACAGAAGCCAUAGUCGGAAGCAUCUCAAUAAAAACCUCCCCCAACGAUCCCACAAAUCUAAAUUGGGUAAACAACCAAAUAUUUUAAGAUGACAUACAGUUUGACUCAUAUACUCAAUCGAUUAUCAUAAGAGCAAGAGUUGUUGAAGCCUCCCCAAAUCAAAACCUUUCCCAAACAAUCCAUGGAAAACUAAAAGGGGUAAAGAAAAAGGACAUUUCAUAGUAAUUCCCUACAAAGCUAGAGGAUGUUCAUAUCAGGUAUCAACCACAUUUGAACAAGCAGGAUUAGACACAUCGGAACACCAUCUUCUUAUCAAGACACAUUUUAUUAUAAGCAUAAAACAUUAACAUAAAAAGCCAAAAUACUCAAGAACCAAACACUGACGCAUACAUACUAAUAGACCAGACAGGCAUGCACCCUUUGCAACAAGUUUAAAAGAUCAUAGUUCAACACAUGGGGCCAACGAGACCCUUUAUUGGAAAUAAAGGACAUGAAACAAGCAAGCAAACAUAAGUAAAGGAAAAUCCAAGAGUGUUUCUUCCUCCAUGAUAAUGAUCACAUAUUAUUCUUCAUCCGAUUCUGAUUCUGCAUUCUGAAGCCAGUCAAUGAAAGGUUGAGCAUUCUUCCAAAUCUUGGAGUUCUUGUUAUCGCCUUUCAGUCCCUUUUGAUACCACAUAACCACGUGCUCUUCCUCCAACACAUCAGCAUCGUACAGUGUCUUCAGAACCAGGGCAACCUCCUUCAAAGCAUUGGAAUUAGACUUGCAACAGAAUUCCUCAAUGGCAUUAAGCAACAAAAUCUGGGAUCCCUCCUCUGUAACAGCAGCAGUAAAAUAGUUCUUCUUCUUAAGAGUAACUUUACCAAAACCUUUCUCUGUUCCCUCAAAUAGAGCUUCAACCAGAGCAGUCAUCUUUUCUUGAGCAGGUGCAGGAAGUUCUGCAAGACGAGAAAGCAAUUCAGUUGCUCCAAAGCCUUUCUUCAAAUUUGCUUUCACUUCAGCAACCACAGUCCCGUAGUUCAUUGAGUUACCAUUCUGAGAACCACCAUUUUCAUUACUUGCUGCUUUUUUCUUCUUCCCUGGUUCAUCUGUAGAAAGCAUAACCAUAUCGGCUGUCACAGCACUUAACUGUUCUUGGAUACGUUGACGAGCAGCAUCAAGUGACGUAUCUGUCAGCCAUUGCACGCCAUCAUCAUCAUCAUCAUCAUCUUCGUCAUGAGCCUCCUCUUUCUCUUCAAUUUGUCUGUGAGUAGGCGAUGUGCGGUCUUCAUCAGAGCCACUUCCUUUCUUCUUUGAAAUUGUGGAUUUUGCGGUGCCAUCCUUUGUAGACGAAGAACCUUUCUUCUUAACCUCUUUCUUCCCUUUCUUUUGUUCCUCAUCAGCUGCUUCACCUUCCUUGAGUCUCUCCUUCUCAGCUCUCCGCAUGGCCUUCUUGUCUUUGGAACCUUUCUUUACUUCUGGAGGAUUCUUAACGAUGAAGGUAGUCAGCUUGUCCCUCAUAUCAACAUCGGACACAAAACCACAAGCAGCACAUUUUAGCUGGAUCAUCUGGUUCUUAGUAAUUAUGAUAUCGGUUUCAGGAUUUCCACAACCAUAACACUGGACAUACUUCUUGAUGAAAUUUUCAAGAAGGCCAGCAAGCUUUGCAGUAUCAUGAGCUCCAUUGACGUGGGAAGUCCCAGUCUUCUCAUCAAACUUAGACUGGGCCCCAAGCUCACAACCAAAAUACUUAGUCGUGUAAGAAGCCGGCCUUGCCAAUGCCUUUGCAAUAUCAACCAUAUUGACGACAUUAGUUUUGAUGCCAUUACCUCUGCCCUCAAUUUUGGUAAUCAUCUUAGGCAUCUUGUACCUAUAGAAGGCAUCAUCGCUGUUUGCAGCACCAAUGUUCUGUAAAGCCAUGUUGACUUACAAAGUCUCAAAGAUAUUCAGUGGCAGCAAACCCAAGAAUUCAAGUUACACGCAGCAGCAAUUUCGGUCUCUAAAGUAGCUUGUAGCCUGGAAGAAUCUCCUUCAGGGAUAAUGGAAGGUGGCCAACCGCUACCACAAAACUGAGUGAAUUUCUGGUAUGUCUCGCGAUGCAUACAGAUAACUCUCUGCGGUGAUGAGGGUCUAUAAUUUUUUCUAGAAGAAGAAAAAUACUCUCCAAGCAGCUCAGUUGCUCCCAAAAGGAUAGUAGCCUGUUCAAACAUGAAAGAAACUUUAACGUGACGCCUUCACCUUGGAAUCUGCCACCGCAGAACUUGCACGUAUACCAAGCCAACAAAAUGAAGCUUCAACAACACCUACA
rnacentral:lncRNA from 1 species